GACUUACAGAGCAAGGGUCAGGCAGUUAACAGAAAUAUCUAGUAGUGGGUUUAAGACAGGCAUACAGGCCAUCUGCCAGUUAGCAGUCUGUGACGUCAAAGAUAGCAGAUACUGCCACUUCUGCUUCUCCAACUCCCUCCGCAGGGAAACACCUCUGUGCAAGCCAGGCUUUCCUCAUUCCAGAGAAGAGGAUCACCACAAAACCCAGUCAACCCUGGCACUAAGGCAUGGAGCAUGACACUGUCACAGGAGAGCUUAGAGAGCUAGUGGGUCCUCCCCCACAAGCCCAUUGAACCGGAAAGGCAGAGAGAGCAGCAUGAUAGGGAACCUGGCUGCAGAAGCGAAGGCACUAAGGCAUCUGGCAAUCAUCAUCCUGAAGCUGAAGGUUCUAGAACACAUCCUCAGGGAAGGAAUCAGACAUUCCCAUCCAGAGAAUGAGGAAAACAGGUGCAGAAGCCGCAGGAGAGGACCUUCCAAUGAUGGAGAGAGGUUUUGGAGAAUGAACCCCUGAGGAAAUGGGAGGAAGGGAUAUGGGACCUGGAGAUAGGGAGGCUGUUUCUGCUCAAGAUUCGGAUAAGGAGAUGGUUUAAUUUGUUUUUCAUUAGACACAAAGUGAAGACUAGGAAGACCACACCCAACAAGGCAGGAGUUUCUCACACAUCAAAACCACUGCAUUGAGCUGGGAACCCAGAUACCAAGAGAAUCAGAACCCAAAUGUCUUAGCACCCAGCAGGAGAGACCACCCCCUCUGCUUCCAGAACGCACACAUUCUACCCCUAGCCUCCUGUCUCCUCACUUCAUCUGUGAACGCCUAGAGUCAAAGAAGUGUAACUGUGGCAGCAAGGACCUUGGAGUCAUCAGACCUGCCUUUGAAUUUAAUCUCUGCCAUUUACUAGUUGAGUCACAUUGGGCAGGUCACUUCUUUGGGCCUCAGUAACGUCAUGCAUGAACUAGGGAUAAUCUCUGCUUACCUCAUUUGGAGGUGGGGGUGAAGAUGAAGUGACAUGACGAAUAUGAGCGUGGUUUGUAAGUACACAGUAACAUUUAGUGGUGUGGUGGUUUCUUAGAGAUGACAGCAGAGCGCACAGCUGUUUCUGCUACCCCAGAAGGAAAAAGGACUGAAACAUUUGGAUCCCAAGAAUAGGGUGGAGGAGCCAGAAGCUGGCCUCCUCCCUCUCCCUGACCUGGUACGGGGAAGCCUCACUUGCUGGUUGGGAAUGACCCCUGUCACCUGGGGGGGCUGGGUGUGUGAGUGACUCAGAUCCUCCCAUCAAGCUCUGAAAGGGGCAACCCCAGGAAGGACCUGUGGUGGUCUUCGAAGUGAAAACCUCCUUUUCUUGGAUGGAUGACAAAUGUCAUUUCUCUGAAAUCAGGACUUGGGUUUCUUUCACUUCCUGCCCAAGGGGUCAAGGUCCCCGGAGGUUUCCCCUCUCUUCACACUUGAGCACUGUUUAAUAUCUAGGGAAGGGAUGAGGUCUGAGAGGCUCAAGUUUCUUUUUCUGUUUGUCAUUAUUCUGUUAUCCCUGAUGCUAUAGCAGAAUUUUCAUUUAUCCAACAAAUGUUGAUGACACAUUUAUUUUGAGACGGGGUCUUCCUCAGUUGCCCAGUGGUAGGAUCACAGCCCACUGCAGCCUUGGCUUCCUGGGCUCACAUAAUCCUCCCACCUCCGCCUCCUGAGUAGCUGGGACUACAGGUUUGAGCCACCAUGCCUAGCUAAUUUUUAAUUUUUGGUAGAGGCAGGGGUCUCACUAUGUUACCUAGGCUGCUCUUGAACUCUUUGGCUCAAAUGAUCCUCCUGCCUUGGCCUCCCAAAGUGCUGGGAUUACAGGCGUGAGCCACGGUGUCCAGCAUAUAAAGCACUGAUGAUAUGUGCCUGGCAUAUCAUAUACACAGCAAAUGAUGGAAAAUAAACAAGUCAGGCACUGGUAGGCUGCUCUGGUUCCCCAUAGGCUUCUCUUAAGGGAGGAGAAUCUAAGAGACCUGGUCCCCUCCUAGACCCAAAUAUUGUCUCUGACUCCCAUUUCUCCCUUUGACUCCAGGACCCCCAAAUGUUGAGAGCAACCUCCCACUCUCCAGGCCCACCACGCCUUCCCUCUUAUUCUAGCAUGGGUGUGGGCGGGUGUUAACCCUUCCUAGAUCAGACAGGGUGUGUCAAUGGGUGAGGCUGGCGGAGGGGCAACGGGGUGGUGAGAGGAGAAGAUGAGUCAGAAUGAAAGGGAAAAUGCAAAUGUGAGAGCCAUGUUCAUCUGCUACUCUGAAAGUUAAGUAUUUUCCAUUUCUAAGCUUUCUAAUUCCUCACACCACCACACCCAGGGACUUGUUAGACACCCAUAUAAAAGACACAAAGCAUCAAUCCCUCUGAUAUGUAGGGGCGCAGAGGGAAACACCCUUCCUCCAACACAGAAAUAGAGUCCCUCAAGACAAGGAAGAAGUGUGGAAAGCCCUGAGGGACCAGCCCCCCAGGAUAGAGGAAGGAUGUAGGGGUCUGGAUAGUUACAUCGUCACCCAUCUGAGUUUGGCCUCCUGGCUUCCCAGCCCCAUGUCAUGUGCCUGUGACUCAGCUCCCCCACUGGUUUGCUCUUUGUUCGAGAGAGUUGGAGAUUGCUCAAAGGGCAGUAUCCUGUGUAAGCCAAAUGUAGUACCCAGGGAGCAUCAGUGGGCUUUCGGGGAACCUAAAAGCGGGGAGGGGCAAGGGGACUCCCCUUUCAGUGAACAAAAGCCCUCAAUGAUGGGGAACCCCACCUAAGGAUAUCCCCUUAGAGACGGCCUCCUUUCAGUUAUCUCCAGGGCCCUCUGCACUGCAGCCCCUAUGCUGAUGACACUCAGCCCUUCUCUACCCUCUCCCUGCGUUCUUGACAGUGUAACCCAGGCCAUCCUGCACACUGUGCACAGAUAGCAGAAGCAGACAGCACUUUGACUUGGAAGAGUAGGGACACUGCUGGUGCUGUUCUGAUGUUGACAUUGUUUUGUUUGCUUUAUGAAGUAGAAUCAUGUUCUGUCACCCAAGCUGGAGUACAGUGUUACCAUCUUAGCUCACUGCAACCUCUGCCUCUGGGUUCAAGUGAUUCUUGUGUCGCAGCCUCCCAGGUAGCUGGGAUUAUAGGCAACACACCAUUAUGGGUGACACACCAUCACACCUGGCUAAUUAUUGUAUUUUUAGUAGAGAUGGGGUUUUACCAUGUUGGCCAGGCUGGUCUCGAACUCCUAGCCUCAGAUGAUCCACUGCUGGCAUGAGCAGCAGGUCUCCUGACCUGUUGUUGCUGUUCUUUAUUUUUUAUUUUUUUUGAGGUGGAGUCUCACUCUGUCACAGAGCUGGAAUGCAGUGGUGUGAUCUCAGCUCACUGAAUCUCUGUCUCCUGGAUUUUUUUUUUUUUUUGAGAUGGAGUUUCGCUCUUGUUACCCAGGCUGGAGUGCAAUGGCUCGAUCUCGGCUCACCGCAACCUCAGCCUCCUGGGUCCAGGCAAUUCUCCUGCCUCAGCCUCCCGAGUAGCUGGGAUUACAGGCACGCGCCACUGUGCCCAGCUAAUUUUUUUGUAUUUUUAGUAGAGACGGGGUUUCACCAUGUUGACCAGGAUGGUCUAUGAACUCUUGACCUCGUGAUCCACCCACGUCAGCCUCCCAAAGUGCUGGGAUUACAGGCGUGAGCCACCGCGCCCGGCCUCUCUCCUGGAUUUAAGUGAUUCUCCUGCCUCAGCCUCCCAAAGUGCUGGGAUUACAGCCGGGAGCCACUGUGCCCAGCCCUGAUGCUGUUCUUAAAAAUGUUCCCCCUCCCUAGACUCGAAAGCCUUCCCCACUUUCCUCUUUCUGGGCUAACUUGGUAGGAAUCAUCUGCAGUUGUCGCUCUGGGAAGAGCAAGGAAACAACGGGUUAUGUGGACACAAGUCUGUGUCCUACCAGAUGGUAGAGUGGGAAGAGAUUAGGUAGGGCAUGAUUGGAAGGGCAGUGUGUGAGAAAAGAAGAUAUGAUAUCUGCCUCUCAGCCCUUUUUAAUAUUCAUUACUUUUUUUUUUUGAGACAGAGUUUCACUCUUGUUGCCCAGGCUGGAGUGCAAUGGUGCCGUCUCAGGUCACUGCAACCUCCACCUCUUAUGUUCAAGUGAUUCUUCUGCCUCUGCCUCCCAAGUAGCUGGGAUUACAGGCAUCUGCCACCAUGCCUGGCUAAGUUUUUGUAUUUUUAGUAGAAGUGGGUUUUCACCAUGUUGACCAGAGUGGUCUUGAACUCCUGAUGUCAGGUGAUCCACCCACCUGGGCCUCCCAAAGUGCUGGGAUUACAGGCGUGAGCCACUGUGCCCAGCCUAAUACUCCUAUUACUGAAUAAAAUUUGAAAUCUGAUUUUUUUUUUUUUUGAGACAGAGUCUCUCUCUGUCACCCAGGCUGGAGUGCAGUUGUACAAUCUCGGGUCACUGCAACCUCCACCUCCUGGGUUCAAGUGAUUCUCCUGCCUCAGCCUCCUGAGUAGCUGGGAUUAUAGGUUUGCACCACCACGCCUGGCUAAUUUUUUGUGUUUUUAGAAGAGAUGGGGUUUUGGUUGGGUGUGGUGACUCAUGCCUGUAAUCCCAGCACUUUGGGAGGCCAAGGGGGGUAGAUUGCAAGGUCUGGAGUUCGAGACAAGCCUGGCCAAUAUGGUGAAACCCCAUCUCUACUAAAAAUACAAAAACUGGCCGGGCGUUGUGGCUCACGCCUGUAAUCCAAGCACUUUGGAGGCCAAGGCGGGUGGACCACCUGAGGUCGGGAAUUCAAGACCAGCCUGACCAACAUGGUGAAACACCGUCUUUAUUAAAAAAAUAAUAAAAAAGAAAAAAAAUACAAAAAUUAGCUGGGCAUGGUGGCAGGUGCCUAUAGUCCCAGCUACUCGGGAGGCUGAGGCAAAAGAAUCACUUGGAUCCAGGAGGCAGAGGUUGCAAUGAGCCAAGACUGUCCCACUACACUCCAGCAUGGGUGACAGAGCGAGACUCUGUCUCAAAAAAAAGGGGCGGGGGGUUCACCAUGCUGGCCAGGCUGGUCUUGAACUCCUGACCUUGUAAUUUGCCCACCUUGGCCUCCCAGAGUGCUGGGAUUACAGGCAUGUGCCACUGUGCCCAGCCUGAAAUCUGGUAUUUCUUAUUCUUACUGAUGGGCUUGACCAGUGGGACACUGAUGGGUAAAUGUGCAAGGGGCUCGGGGCACAGCCUGGCUGCAAAGUCAGAGCUUCCCAGAAAUCCUUGUAUCAUGAGUUUCUUCAGGCACAACUGAGCUUGAUGUAAGAAUGCCAACACAGCAACACAAAUACCAAUUCUCCUUAAAUAUUGUAAUUCAAACCAUUAGAAUAGGCCAAUGAGAGGGAUGAUCAUUUGUUUUGUGAAAAAGUUCUCCCUCCAUUUUACUUAUUCUAAAUAUCAAGUCCUCUUUGCAAGCCAAGUUGAAUAAGAUUCAAUUUAGAAAAGUUCUGUGAACUCACCACUCUUCCCGUGAACCCAUCUCUUUCCACAACUUAGGGUGGUUAAAUUCCCCACAGCAUUUUAUAUAGAUUAAGAGUGAUUAUCCAAAUCUUACAUAAACUUUAAAGAUGUUCACUCUUUCUAGUUAAGUACAUCCAAGACUUCCAGAAAGGAGACACCACAAGGAGUGAAUUAGUUCCCUUUUUCCCUUAAAUCUGUCCUCUAUAUGACCCAAGAACCAGAUAUAAUCAUGCCCAGGUGAGCUGAAUCUAGAUCAUAGGGACCCCCUCAUCGCACACCUUUGAGGAUUAACUGGAAAAGAAACUAGACUAGAAGUCAGAAAACAGGUUCAGCUGCAUCCAUUCACAAUGAAUGGCCCUUUUAUGCUUUUUUUUUUUUGAGGAGUUUUGCUCAUGUUGCCCAGGCUGGAGUGCAAUGGUGCAAUCUCAGGUCACUGCAACCUCUGUCUCCCGGGUUCAAGCGAUUCUCUUCAGCCUCCCGAGUAGCUGGGAUUUCAGGCAUGCACCACUAUGCCUGGUUAAUUUCGUAUUUUUAGUAGAGACUGGGUUUCUCCAUGUUGGCCAGGCUGGUCUCAAACUCCUGACCUCAAAUGAUCUGCCUGCCUCAGCCUCCCAAAGUGCUGGGAUUACAGGCAUAAGCCACCGUACCCAGCCCCUACAUAACCUUUGGAGAGCCACAGGCCUCUUCUUUCAAUCACUAGAUCGAGGCUCAGUCCAGAGACCCCUGAUAACCUCUCAUUGUCCAGAGGCCAUACCUCAGGGCCCAUGACCCCAUGCAGAGCUAAGGGCCUCCAACUUCCCCACAACACCCUUCCAACUCAGGCUGGCCUCGGGGGCCAUGGACCAACUCGGAGGGCAAGCUGGCUUGGCCUCUGCCAAUCCUAGGCCUAAAGGUGGCCAGGAGGCCGCAUUUCCAGCCUCUGGAAGGCAGAGGAAAGCCCCAAGGGCUAAAGCCCUUAACCUGCACUUCCCAGUCCUCACCGCGGCCACUCAAGCCCCCAUGCCCCAGCUUUCCCUGGGCCCGGCCCAAGCCCAAAGGAGUAAAGUAAGAAAAACCAUGGCACUCACCCGCCCAGCCCGUUCCUUCUUCUCUUUCAGCCUCACGCACACUCAGGACGGCUCAAGCCCGAAUGGCCGUUAAAAGUGUGGAGUGCAGCGAGGCCAAGGGCGCGAGGCCCCAGCAUGUGAUCACUCCUGGAACCUGAGGCAGACGCUGAUUGGCUCCCGCUCGGGCCGCACUCUGCAGCUCAGGCCCGCUGCGAGCGCGGGGCAGCCUGGGAGGCACCUAGGACAGCACCACUCCCGCGCGGACCCGCAGCUGAUUGGCUGUGAUGGGGCAGGGCCUUGAGUCUUAUUGGUCCAUGGACUUAGGCUUCAGGCUUCUUAGGCUGAGAUUUCAUUGAUCGCCAGCCCGGCCCCAGAGUUGAUCGGCAGCGGAGUCUGUCCUUCCUCCCUCUCUCCAGGAAGACACUGGACGCUGAUCCUCCUUCACCUGAACAGCUUUGGAGGCUCCCUCAGCGGGUGCUCAGGAAUACCACUGUCUUUUUUUUUUUUUUUUUUUUUGAGAUGAAGUCUCAUUGUGUGGUCUCGACUCACUGCAACCUCCGCCUCCUGGGUUCAAGCGAUUCCCCUGCCUCAGGCUCCCAAGUAGCUGGGACUACAGGCGCCUGCAAACAUGCCGGGAUAAUUUUUGUAUUUUUAGUAGAGAUGGGGUUUCACCAUGUUAGCAGGAUAGUCUCGAUCUCUUGACCUCGUGUUCUGCCUUCCUCGGCCUCCCAAAGUGCUGGGAUUACAGGCGUGAGUCACCGCGCCCGGUCUUCUUUUUGUAAAAAAAUUUUCAUUUUUAUUUUACGAACAGGGUCUCCUGUUGCUGGUGCUGGAGUGCAAUGGAGCAAUCAUAGCUCACUGCAGCCUUGAACUCCUGGGCUCAAACAAUCCUCCUGCCUGGGCCUCCAAAAAUUCUGGGACUACAACCGUGAGCCACCAUGCCUGACCUGCCUUUCUUGCUUCUAAUUUUCCACCCUGAAUAGCUCCCAUUUGCAAACUCUCACCUUUCUCUCAACCCUCUAUAAUCUGUGAAGUGUGUAGGGGAUGUGUAGGCUGCCACCACACCUGAUUGGCUGUGAGGCCUUUAAGAGCCAGCCAAGUCCAGGCACGGUGGCUCAUGCCCAUAAUCCCAGCGCUUUGGGAGGCCCAGGUGGUAAUAGGAUCGCUUGAGCCCAGGAGGUUGAGGCUAAAAUGAGCUAUAAUCAUGCCACUGCAUGGCACCUGGGUGACACAGUGAUACCCUGUCUUUAAUAAAUCAAUAAAAUAAAAUAGGCCAAACGCAGUGGCUCAUGCCUGUAAUCCCAACAUUUUGAGAGGCCAAGGCAGGCGGAUCACGAGGUCAGAAGAUCGAGACCAUCCUGGCCAACAUGGUGAAACUUUCUCUCUACUAAAAAUACAAAAAUUAUCUGAGGGUGGUGGCGCGUGCCUGUAGUCCCAGCUCCUCAAGAGGCUGAGGCAAGAGAAUCACUUGAACCAGGGAGUUGGAGGUUGCAGUGAGCCGAGAUCACACUCAUCACUUGUUGAAAUCUAAAUAAUCCCGUGAGGGAGGCGAUUACAAUGCCAGGUUAACCUCUGAGGGCCAGAGAGGUGAAGUUUAUCUCAGGUCACGCAGCGGGUACGGGCAUUGCUGGGACUUGAAUCUUGCUGUAUGGAAAGUCCAGCAUUCGAGCUACACUCCCUGACGAAGGGAGACUCCGUCUCAAAAUAAAUAAUAAAAUAAAAUAGCCAGCCAGUCUGGGUGCGGUGGCUCAUGCCUGUAAUCCCAGCACUUUGGGAGGGGUCAGGAGUUCGAGACCAGCCUGGACAACAUGGCGAAACACCGUCUCUACUAAAAACACAAAAAUUAGCCAGGCGUGGUAGCGGGCGCCUGAAGUCCCAGCUACUCGGGAGACUGAGGCAGGAUAAUCGCUUGAACCGGAAGGCAGAGGUUGCAGGGAGGGAGCCAAGAUCUCACCACUGCACUCCAGCCUGGGCGACAGAGCUAGACUCCGUCUAAAAAAAAAAAAAAAAAGCCAAUCAGGCUUCGGUGCCUUUGGACAGCUCCCUUUUCUCGCCUCUUCUCUGUCCUACGCCACCACGAUUGCCCGCACAGCUCGUCCUGCCUCGCCUGGAAGUGUACAGGGGCAGGGAAUAAACAAGAGGGGGCAGUGCCUUGUCCCGUGUUUGACAGCGUGACAUUCGCACUUCCAAUUCCCACUGCCACCUCGACUGUAUGCUCAGCCAGGAGUAACCGUGCACUGUGUAACUGAGACAGGAGUGACUAUGCCUGCACUCCCGCCCCCCACGACUCUGCAGAGGGAACGGCCAAUUGCGCUGCCCCAACAUUAACUGGCCCAGGGGUUAGACUCCCUCCAGCAGCCUUUCCUCCUGGGCAGGGCCUCGGGAUUGACAACCUGCGAGCUCGCCCCUUGCCAAUUUCCCGAGGUGCUGCCUGCUGGGCUUCUGGCCUGGGCCCCCGCGGCGGUUGCACCGCUGAUUGGCUCGUUCUGCUCCUUUCUAAGUGGCGUAACCUGGGAUUCUUUCUCAAGCACAGCCAAUAAGACGCCAGGGGGCCUUAGGGAGACUGGCAUUGCUCUGCCGCUACCGCUUCUGCUUGGCCUCACGGCUCGUAUUCGCUUUAGAUUGCCCCCCGCUGAGCAGUUUCAGGCUGUGAGAGGAGUCCGGUCCCUUCCCGCUCCGCGGAGUGUGUCGGCGCCUCCAUCGCAAGCGGCUCGCUGAGGAGCUGGAGCGGGGAGGAAUGGGGGUGGGCAGGAGACAGGAGGGGACCUCGCGGAAGAGCCUGGAGCAGCAGCUGGAGCUGUCGGUCGUGACAGAGACAGCCUGAGUGGUCCCUGGCCCCGAGAGGGACAGAAACCGCUAAAAAGGGGUAGAGACAGCAUUUCACCAUGUUGGCCAGGCUGGUCUUGAACUCCCGACUUCGUGAUUCAUCCACCUUGGCUUCCCAAAUUGCUGGGAUUACAGAUGGUGAGAGAGCUUGGCUCAGUGGAGCAGGAUAGAGGGAGCUAUCUGGAGAGGUGGCAAGGGACCAAGCCACACGGGCCCCUCAGUGCGAGGAGUGGGCCUCUGAGUUUGGGGACUGGGGCAGACAAACCUGUCCUACAGCCGCCUGGGUGAGGCCACGCCACUACCGAUCUGACUGAGCCACACUAUGCAGGUCAGGCCUCUCCCCGGGCCUCGCCCCGCUCACGUAGUCACGGUGGGUAUAGGACGUGAUGCACGAGGCGCACUCGAAGAUGAAGACGAUGAGCAUGAGCACCAGGUACUGGGGAGAUCAGAGGGAGGACGGCGCGUCGGGCAGAGCCGGUGAAGCCACACCCCCACCAGGAACGCAUCGUUGUGGAAAUGCAACUUUUUAAAAAGUUUAGGGCAGUGUGAAUAGUAGCAUCUGUAAUAUAUGCAACAGGAGGUUGUGUGUGGAUGUGUGAACUCUGCUGCUGGGAGACGGGAUGACAUCACACAACACAACCCGACUGCUUUAAAACAAUGUGCUUAUCACUCAGAGAUAUGUGCACUCCAGUACUUACAGAGUUCAUGAGCACAGACUCUGGAGAGCAGCUAGCAGGGGUUCAAAGCCCAGCCCUGCACUGGGUGCAGGUGGGGUGGCUCACACCUGUAAUCCCAGCACUUUGGGAGGCCGAGUUGCAAGAAUCAUUUGAGCCAGGAGUUCAAGACCAGCGUGGGCAACAUAGUGAGCCCCCCCCCGCAUCUUUACCAAAAACAAAAAACAAAAACUCAGCCCUGCUACUCAAGUCCUCUCUGUGCAGAGCCCUGCUCCUCCCCCUAUGCCCUGGUUUCUUUGUGAAACGGGUAACUGCUGGGCCUGGGUUAUUGGACUGUGGGAGGACUGAGUGAGAUGAUGCCUGGGGAGUGUGGCACUGUGGGGAACUCAUGCUGGUGGCUGGCGAGGCGCCUGCCACUGAACUGGCUUCCAGUGUCCCCCUCCCCCCUCCCCCGGGCCUUACCGUGAGGACCAUGGACCGGCGGCGGCAGAGAGUGGCACCUACACCAAAGCUGGCGACCACGAAGAAGGAGAAGCCACAGAAGAUGGCGAUCCAGGCACCAGCGAAGACAUCAUCCUUGCCCGAGACGCCCAUCAGUGGGUACACACGGUACUGGUCAGCUGUCACCCAUACUGUCUCGGCAAACAGGGCCAGGCCUGACAGCUGACAGAGCGGUGGGUUAGAAAGGUCUGCUCGGGACCAACAGCCCUGGCACCAGGCAUCUCCAUGAGCAAGUUUCUUCCCCAUUCGGAGCCUCCACUGCCCUCUCAGUAAGGCAGGCAAAGACCUCCCCUUCCAUGAGCAGUGAUCAGGGUGAACAGAGGCCAGGAGAGAAGAGGUGGCCCAGCCAGACCUCCGACCCCCAAGCCCCAGCUGCCAGUUGCUUCAAGGAUGAAAGGCUGGAACAGCAGCCUGGCACAGAGAAGACAGUCUAUCUGUCUGCCCUCCCUUGACGAUGUUGUUAUUCCCUGAGAAGGCGACAUAACCAUGGCCAUAAAUACUACAAAUAUGCCAGGCAAGAUGGCUCACCCCUAUAAUCCCAGCACACUGUGGGAGGCCGAGGUGGGAGGAUUGCUUGAGCCCAGGAGUUUGAGACCAGCCUGGGUAACAUAGUGAGAGCCCAUCUCUACAAAAAAUAAAAUAUUUAGCCAGAUGUGGUGAUGUGCACCUGUAGUCCCAGCUACUCAGGGGGCUAAGGCGAGAGGCUGCAGUGAGCUAGGAUCACACCACUGCACUGCAGUCUGGGCAACAGAGAUAGACCCCGCCUCUAAAACAAACACAAGGCCAGGCGAGGUGGCUCACACCUGUAAUCCCAACACUUUGGGAGGCCGAGGUGGGUGGAUCACCUGAGGUCAGGAGUUUGAGAUCAGUCUGGCCAACAUGGUGAAACCCUGUCUCUGCCAAAAAUACAAAAAGCAGCUGGGUGUGGUGGCACACACCUGUACUCCAAUAUGAAGAAACCCCGUCUCUACUACAAAAUACAAAAUUAGCUGGGCAUGGUAGCACAAGCCUGUAAUCCCAGCUGCUUGAGAGGCUGAGGCAGGAGAAUCACUUGAGACUGGGAGGUGGAGGUUGCAGUGAGCCAAGAUCUCACCGCUGCAGUUCAGCUUGGGUGACAGAGUGAGAAUCCGUCUCAAAAAAACAAAUUAGCUGGGGGGAGGGGGGUGGGCACCUGUAAUCCCAGCUACUCCAGAGGCUGAGGCAGGAGAAUCACUUGAGCCCAGAAGUCAGAGGUUGCAGUUAGCUGAGAUUGGCCAUUGCACUCCAGUCUGGGUGACAGAAUGAGACUCCGUUUAAAAAAAAAAAAAAAAAAACGAAAAUGAAACAAGCAUAAAACCAAAGCCCAAUGUUAAUUGAAAGAAAGACGCUGUCGUCUUUCCUUCUUGUUGUGGCCUAUGCACCAGGGGGUCGCAUCAUGUCCACAGUGACGUUGACGGUGAUAGCCGGCAUUGGCUAGGCGCUUUCCCUGAGCUGAGGGCCAUGCAUGGGUUAAUCCACAUCAACAGCCCACACAAUGAGGACAUAAUCUACAGAUGAGGAAAGAAGGCACAGAGAGGGACAGUCACUUGCUAAGGUCACAGAGCUGGGGAGAGGCAGAGCUGGCGUGUAAACCCAGGCUGCACUGACGGCUGAGUCUGCCCUCAAGGCAGUUCUGGACCCUCACCCUGAGCUCAGGACUGCCCCCUCCCCACCACACACCCACUCAGCUCCCAGCACCUGGGCGGGUCUCACCAGAAUAAUGAUGUUGCCCAUGACCAGCAGGCCCACCACAACUGGAGAUCCCUUCUUGGCCUCUGCUGCCGCUGCAGACACCACCAUUCUGCCCGGGACACAGGAGCAGGAUGAGACCAGGAGCAUAAAGGGCCAGACAGAUCGCCAGCUCUGAGCCUCCGCAGCUGUCAGGGCUUGCUCUGGCUCUCUGCAGGGCCCAGGCUGGUACCACUUUGCCCACAGUUCUGGCAUUUUGCAGAAGAGGACACCUGGGCUCCGGUGGGGCAGUCACUGGCCCGUACCGGGCACUGCCCCUCCUGAGCCUCAGAGCCCCCAUGCUGUACCCAGAUUCCCAGAGCCCCCUCCUCACCUUCUGUCCCUGGAGCCUCUCUGGCCAGCCCCACCCACUGUGGCUCCCUAUAUACGCCCAGGCCCCUCCUUGGGCCAGUCUCCCAGGAAGGAAGGAGGGUGUGUGUGGUGUGGGGGGACGGACAAGAGGCCGAGCCAGCAGGCCAGAAUGGGUGAACAGCUUUGAUGGGCUCCCUGCCACCCCCAUGAUUUAUAGACCUGAAAUUCCAGAUUGUUCAGGACCCAUGGCCUCUGGGUCCCAGGCUCCCGUGGUGGUGGAGGGGUGCGAGCACCACCUGGUAUCUCUCUUGCCAGGACAUGGGUCAUCCUGGAAGCAGGAACAAGAUCCAAAUCGGGGUGGGGUGUAGUGGCUCAGGCCUGUAAUUCCAGCACUUUGGGAAACUGAAGUAGGUGGAUCGCUUGAACUCAGUAGUUUGAGACCAGACUGAGUAACAUGGUGAAACCCUGGUUCUACAAAAAAUACAAAAAAAAAUUAGCCUGUCGUGGUGGCUCAUGCCUGUGGUCCUAGCUACUCUGAAGGCUGAGGUGGGAGGAUCGCUUGAACCUGGACAAUAGAAGUUGCAGUGAGCCAAGGUCAUGCCAUUGCACUCCAGCUUGAGUGACAGAGCCAGGCCCUUUCUCAAAGAAAAAAAAAAUUCACUUUGGACCCAUAGAUGGGUCUUGAAUCCCAAAAGUGCCUCUUCUGCUGUGUGACCUUGGCAGGUGGCUGCUCCUCUGAGAGGGAGCCCGUGGGGAGGUCCAGGCAGGGACCCCUGUCGACCCCAGGGCUGGACCGAGGCAGAGCAGUGGGGAGUUGAGGGGACAGGUGGAAGGGGUGCUUAGAAGGCUGAGGCGGAAGGAUGGCAUCCAGGAUAGGUGUGUGAAGGGAGUCUCCGAUGAGCACAAGCGGGAGAAGAACGUGCUAUAAGAUGAGAGGGGGCACACUGGGCUUGGUUGCAGAAAAGUCCCGGUUGCCCCCAACACACACAGAGCAAGCAGAGACAUUUAUUUCUUCAGGCUGCAGAAUGAAAGAGACCUAGGCUCAAAUCCCGGUUCCGCCUUUGCAUUUGCCCAUCUGCGAAAUGGGUAUCAUCAGACCGCUUCCGGGGAGGAUGGGGACGCAGCCAGCGCUUCUCCUCUGGGGCUGGUACUGCGGGCAGCCGCGCCCUGCAGCCUGCUCCCGAGACGCGGCGGUCUCUCCGAUGCCGCCCCCUCGCGGCGCAGGCCUGGCUCUGCAGGCGAAAAUGGUGGGGGCUCCCAACACCGUCGCCGGAAUUUCUCAACCCCAAGGCUAGGCGGUUUAUUGCCUCUGCUGUUGGAGCCAUGGCUCCCCCUUGCGGUGUCUGCGAAUUCGGCAAACAAAUGACACUGAAAAUCCCAGAAUCAAGACUUGGUAAUAAGAUACAUGAGAUGUUUUCCAAUUAAAAUGGUUAAUUUGGUUUUACUUAA